UCCCCAAGCCACUUUUGGCUAAUCAUCCCCUACACUCAACUUUGGCCGACAUGCAUGAAAUGGUAUUGCACUUUGCUUGUCCUCUUGUAAUAUCAAGAAGUAGCCGGCCAUGCCAAGCUCUUGGCAUGCAUGAGCUGAAAUUUCUUCAUCUCCACUUUCUUCUCUUACAAGCCUUGCCUCCCACCUAACCCAAUCACUAAAUGAGCAGCCUCCCAACCAGCCCAAUCAAUGAGGAGGCAGCCAACCAUCCUCCCUCUAUAAAAGGAGCUUGGCCGGCCACCCCCUCCUCCUUUGCUUCUCAUUUUUGACUCUCCACUCCUUCCACCACUCACUCACACCCCUCUCAUACCUCUCCCCCACGAAAUCCUGCUCCACCUAGCUACCAUGGCCGGCCAUGGCCAUGGAAAGGCACCUAGAUGAAGCUCCCCUCCUCCAUCAAGCUCAUCCUCACCAUGAGAGCAUCCCUCUCACUCUCUUCUCCCCUAACCCUAGUUGAAUCCAGCCCUAUUUCUCCUUUCUCCUCUCACAAGAUUGGAUCUUGAUGCAGGUGCAUGUUGGUCCAAGCAUGGAGAAGGUUGAGCUAUCCUCAGAUCUGAAGCUCUUGACCAAAAUCCAAAUCGAGUGAUUCAAAGUUCCGCAGAUAGGUAUUGAAAAGAUCUACAACUUGGCGUUGGUAUCAUCCUCAAAUUCGUUACGGAUUUUGCAUGAUCAAGAUCUGGUCAGAUCUGACUUUGUCGAAUUAAACCAGGAGCUUGGAUGCGAAUUUUUGAAUGAAACCAAUUGGGGGAUAUUUGGUUUAUACCAUGGUGAUAACCGAGAGAGGCAAUUGCUAAGUUGUGAUGCACUCAUACCUUUACUAGAUGCGAACAAUUCCGGAGAAGAAGAAGAAGUGGAAUCGGAUGAGAAGAUUAUUUAUAUUGUUGGAAUUCUUAUAUUGAUGGAGUUGAAGAAGUACAGGGACAAAUAAGCCAAGGCAAGCCAUCUUUUGACCUCUGAUUUGGUGUCUAGUUGGAUGUCAUUUGUUGAUGUCCAAAGCACCUUGGUUCUAUGUGUGUUGUUCUCCUUA